CGGGGAAUAUUGGACAAUGGGCGCAAGCCUGAUCCAGCCAUGCCGCGUGAGUGAUGAAGGCCCUAGGGUUGUAAAGCUCUUUCACCGGUGAAGAUAAUGACGGUAACCGGAGAAGAAGCCCCGGCUAACUUCGUGCCAGCAGCCGCGGUAAUACGAAGGGGGCUAGCGUUGUUCGGAUUUACUGGGAGUAAAGCGCACGUAGGCGGACUAUUAAGUCAGGGGUGAAAUCCCGGGGCUCAACCCCGGAGCUGCCUUGGAUACUGGUAGUCUUGAGUUCGAGGGAGGUGAGUGGAAUUCCGAGUGUAGAGGUGAAAUUCGUAGAUAUUCGGAGGAACAACAGUGGCGGAGGCGGCUCAGUGGCUCGAUACAGACGAUGAGGUGCGAAAGCGUGGGGAGCAAACAGG
rnacentral:rRNA from 1 species